rnacentral:tRNA from 1 species
UCCCUUGUGGCUCAGCUGGUAAAGAAUCUGCCUGCAAUGCAGGAGACCUGGGUUCAAUCCCCGGGUUGGGAA